UAUUAACUUGUAACCACAAAACACAAGACCUGUAUAAUCUUGUCUACGGUGCUUAGAUCAUACUGCCUGUUGGACAUUAUGUUAAAUAUUUCUCGCCAUUUCUGUUGAUUAGACUAGAAGAAAUUUGUAAAUCUGUUACUAUAACAACAUUAUGAUGUCUGAUACGUCACUUCAACAGAUUGUCAAUCACCAGAGUCAUAAUUUCCACGCUUGUAAUGUACAAAUAAGCCAGUACAACAUACAAAAUAAUCUGACAAACCAACUAAAAGAAGAUGUUGACAUUAUGAAGAGUGAAAUACAACAACUCCAAUCAGACAAACAGAGGCAGGCUGACGAGAUACAGAGUCAAGCUGACAAGAUACAGCAACUUGAGUCAAGGGUUAAAGUUGUGGAAAAAACAGGAUUCAAGAAAACAGAUAGAAAUAUACAUAAAAAAAGGAAUGAUGUGAUAACUCUUACACUAGAUUGGCCUGGUUUGAUUCCGACGGCUAUACGUGUUAGUAGAGGUUCAACUAUUAGACAAACAGAAGCGAUAGCACAGAAGGAGUGUACAAGGAAGUAUGGUACAGAUAGUGAUGUUGUUAUUACUGCUAUUUGCAGUAAAAAACAGGAGAAGUGUCGCUACCACUCUAACUACAACAAAGAUCUGGCAUUAGCAGAUUAUGGAGUAGAAGAUUUGGAUAUAGUCAAGUGGUCCACCCGAAGUGCAUUAGGUAUUUAAAUAAAGAGCUGGGCAUACUCGCUAUAAUAUUUUAAAAAUAGACAAAUGAAUGUGUUGAGAUUUUCAGUCAAAUUAUGAAUGUUCUACGUUUUGUCAAGUAUAGUCUUGAAUAUGAUUGAUGCGAUAAUAAACAAGGUAUUGAUUUUCUAAA